ensembl:lncRNA
ACUAAACCAGGUCUAAAUCAGGACUAAACCAGGACUAAACCAGGUCUAAACCAGGUCUAAACCAGGUCUAAACCAGGUCUAAACCAGGACUAAACCAGGACUAAACCAGGACUAAACCAGUAUUAAACCAGGACUAAACCAGGACUAAACCAGGUCUAAACCAGGUCUAAACCAGGACUAAACCAGGACUAAACCAGGAUUAAACCAGGUCUAAACCAGGACUAAACCAGGUCUAAACCAGGACUAAACCAGGUCUAAACCAGGACUAAACCAGGUCUAAACCAGGUCUAAACCAGGUCUAAACCAGGUCUAAACCAGGACUAAACCAGGUCUAAACCAGGACUAAACCAGGAUUAAACCAGGUCUAAAUCAGGACUAAACCAGGACUAAACCAGGUCUAAACCAGGUCUAAACCAGGUCUAAACCAGGUCUAAACCAGGACUAAACCAGGACUGAACCAGGA